AAUGAGAUGAUUUUGAGAAAAAAAAAUGUGUGUUAUAUUUCUAUGUUUUCCCUAAAUGUUUGGCAUUUGAACAUUGUUUUUAGACUGAAGCCCUUAGAUGUUGCAUUUAUGAAAGCGAUACACAAUAAGGUGAAUAUUGUGCCUGUCAUUGCGAAAGCUGACACUCUCACUCUGAAGGAGCGGGAGCGGCUAAAGAAAAGGGUGAGUAGAAGGAAGAUGGCACCCAUCCUCUUCAGCGGGACUUGGAGACAACAGACCAGGAAGUAGGAGGGAGAAAGAUUUCAACCGAAUUGCCAGAGGCAGGACUACAAAAUUAAUUUCUUUGUGUAUUGGAACUCAAAGAUUGCUCAAUAUUUGUAGGUUUUUUGUUGUUUUUAUUUUCAUCCUCAUGGAAGAAUCAAAUUUGUAUAGUUAACACUCUUAGAUAAAAAUAGCCUCAUUGAGUAGGAAGUGGCUGAGUAUAAUGAGCUCCCACAAAUACUAAGUUG
rnacentral:lncRNA from 1 species